AUUUAAAUUUAUUGGAAUUUUUUUCCUUAUAUGCACCUAUUUAAUACUUAUCUUUUUUGUAGAUUUUAAUUGCAUUCAUGUUGUUUUAAGAGUAGUGUUUCUUGUUUAUAGAUUUUACAUUCCCAUUUGUAGUUGUGCAAGGACAAACAUUAUAUUCCACAAUGGGACCCAUGGUUCUAUAAUCCAGACCAUUGGCCUAUUGCAUCGAACUGCAGAUUGAUGAAGGCCUAAAAAUCUUCGUGAUGGGAAAUUCACAGGCACCAAUCUUUGGAUAAAUUUCAUUUGGAUGGAGACCGGCACUCUAAUUUUUAACCAAAAUGAACUUUUUUUUUUGCCACAAUCAAAAGGCUAGAAUUGUCCCAGCUAAAAGAAUUUAAUACUCUACACAAGGAAGAAUGUAACAGACCAAUGGUCAGGACUGCCUAUUUGGCUUCGUGGAAAUAGAAAUGAAGGAAACAAUGUUUCUUAAAAUGCCAUUUAUAAAUGUUGAGAAAGGUAAAAUAGUUUGUCUUAAGGCCAGUUUGAAUAAAUUGCAGAUUGGAGAAUGCAACUAGUUUGCAUCAACAAGGAAUUUAUACCUAUUUGGGAAGUAAUUGCAUUUGCCGGCUGUAUUCUCAUUCCUUUUAUGCAGAGAAGGAUUGUUGGUCUUCAUCAGAAUACAUCAGUUGGAUCAACUUACAUAACUGAAUGUUUUCCUUUAAAAAAAAAUUCUUUUUUCUUCACCUUGAGCUUGGAGGAAGAUUAUACUGUGGUUUUGACCAAAUCUAUAUGCCUAUUUUCAUAUCCAAAUACAAAAUUCAAGCGUGUUUGAUGAAUCUGAGUUGAAUGGAUCACUUUGGGAAUUGCGAAAAACAUGCAAGACAGAUAAAUAAUCAUUUUUUUUUUCGUUUUUUAGGUUUCUUCUUUUGUUUUGUAUUUUCAAUGUAAUGGGCCCUAAUUAACCCAAUCAUAUUUGAUGCGUGUUCUAUUAGGGCCCAUUUGGAUGAUUUUCCUGUUAUUCAUGUUUUAACCCCUUUUUUCCACUGAAUUUUUUAAUCAAUUUUUUCUUAUCUAUUUUAUUUUUAUUGUAAAUGAUACAUGAUUAGGUUGCUUGUGCUCAUGCUUGGAAGAGUAAGGAAAGAAAAGUUGAUUCGGGCAUCUUUGGACAUUUUUGGGCAUUUUGUACUUUUAUUAUUAUUAUUAUUAUUAUUGUGGUUUACUCUUUAUCCUGAUUAGGUUGCUUGUGCUCAUGCUUGAAAUUAUUAUAAGCAUGUUUUUUUUUAUAACAACAUGUAUGUAACUUGUUUAUAUAUAAGCAUGUAUUUAUUGUCUUUUUUAAAAUUUGCUAUUUUUUUUUUCAUUUUUUCUUUUCUUUUUGCCGUUUAAGGUCAGGCAGGUCAGGCUAACAGAAACCAUUAAUGCCCCAUCAAAUGUAUGCCACAAAAUACGAAUGAUACACAUGUUUUCCUUUUUUACUACAUAUAAAUGUGCAUGUCUUUUUACCACAGAAACCAUCAGAAAUAGCUAUUUACUACAUAUAAAUGGGAUUGAAUGCCUACCGUUGACAAUCACUUGGGAAAAGCAGUUGGUAGCUUAUUGUAGGUCUAGUGCAAUGUGUUUCAAGGUGUAGCAGGGGAAGUUGCUUUGACUUCAAGUGGUGGAUUGAAGAAGCUAUCUUUAUUAACUGAUAACUAUGAAGAGGUUGCAAUGAAUAAAAUUCUGAGUUUGUAGUAAAUUUCAGAAGUAGAACUAAUGCAUGCCCAAAAUCAGCUAGGGUGGUAAUUGACCGAACAUCAGGAUAUUUGAAGGGCUUUGGGUUUGUCACAUGCCCUAUGAUUGAAGAGAUGGAGCUGGGCAUAAAGGGAAUGGAUGGUCAGCUACAUCACUGAUAGAGCCGGCGACCCCCUUCUAUUUUGGCAUUUAUCAAUGGAUGCAAGUUCUGGUUGAGGACUACAUUUUCAGUGGAGGCAUUUUCUCUAUGUCAAUAUUUCAGUAUACUAAUGAGGAAAAAAGCUCUCAAGGUACUCUCUCUCAGAAGAGCACUUUGUUUGGAUGAUCAAGAUUCACACUAGAUUGGAUGCAGAUAAAACUUAUGUGAAUACUUGGCUGUGCAUGUACAACUAUUCCAACACAAGUAUACGACAUCCUCUUGUUCAUUAAUGAGGUUCAUGUGCAGAGGUUUUUGGUUUUUUAGGUGAUGAAAAUCAUGUAGAAACCUGGAUGUAUAGCGUGAAGCAUUGGCUCCCAUCUAAAGAACUCUAAAAUGCAAAGGUCUUAAAUGGACUAGUAUCACGGUGGACAGUAGGGAUGGAUCAAUAGUGGUAGUGAUGGAAAUGGCGGAGGAUUUGAACCAUCAGAUGUUUGGGAUUGUUUAUAGCUGCAAGAGCCGGAGGUCGGUAGCUGGAAUUGCUGGGGUGAAUGCUGCUUUUGCGGGCUUGAAAGAUCAGUUAUAUGGAAUUCCAUUCGUUAUGAAACAGAGGAGGAAGACAGUGAAGACAACAAGGGAAAUUUUGAAAAAUUUGCAAGAAUGUAGAGUUGUGGAGAAUCUCGAUGCUUCUCUACCUCCGAAGGGGAUGGUCAUUGUUGUUUUCUGACCCGAUGGCUGGAGCUUUCACUCAGUGUGGCAUCCGUUUCUGUUUUGUACACAACAUGAGUUCAGAAAAUGUGAGUUUUUUGUUUUUUCUUUCUAAAACUGCUGCUGUUGAGUUGUUGCAUGAUGCUUGGUUUGACUAGCAAUUUCACUAGUGUGGCCCUCCUUUCACUGGCAUGUGUUGUUAACCUCUGAUGGGCUCCAUCAUAAAUGGCCUCUGGCAUUGAAAAUCUCUUCCAUUGGACAAGUCUACUAUCCGAUUGCCAGUCAUUAUAGAACCAAUCAUUGUUCUAUAAUCCAAUCACAAUUUCAGGCCCACUUGAUGGAUA